AAUUUUGUGUAAUGCUUUAAAUUAAGUUUCUCACAUAUGCAUUUAAUUGAAAUGUAUUGAGAUGGUUAUUUAUGUUAAUAAAAUAAUUAAAAGCAGUUAUUUAAGACUAACUACAAAAUAGCUGUGUAACUACCUAUAUUAAUAAGACAGUUAGUUAAAGGAUAAUGUCUAUUGCUUUAUAGUGUAAUUGCAAUAAACAGCUGCUGAGUUAGAUUAAGAGCCAAAGUGAAACUAAAGUGUUUUAGCAAUCUCAAAAGCUAUUUGUUUGUAAGUAUACUACAAAGCAAUAGAGAUUAUUCCUGUUAUACAACAGCUAUAGCAUAAACAUUAAAAUAUGAUUUUCCUAAGUGCUUUGAUUCCUUUCUCUCAGAUUUUCCACCUACACCACAAGAGAAGGCAAGGCUAGAAUCAGUGGGGAAUGGCUUGUGCAGAGAAGGACAUGUAUGAGAGAGUGUUUAUAGGGUGAUUUACUGUCCUAAUUUAUAGCCAUGCAUUACUAUUGACUUCAAUGAGAUUAUGUGUGGAUGUAAGUCAGGGCAGAAACUGUGUUAACCAGUUGUAUUUUUAGGGUUUCAUCAUUCAAAAAUCUUGUUUGAUUUUUUUUUGGUUAAAAAAAGCUCUUCCUUGGCUCCAGAUCAAACCUACCAGAUUUUAGGCUAAUGGGACUUUUUUGUGGAAGUGGGCAGGGGAAAGUCAAGCUUAUAAUAGAAACUCAUCAGCAGCCUUGUUUAGGAAGUGGCUGCUGCCAUUACAUAAUUAACAGACAAAGAAGAGACACUUUCUGGUUCCUAAGCUAUGGCAUUUUAUGGCUGUGUGUCAUAGCGAAUACACAGAACUCAGACAUUAGGUUGUGGUAAGUAAGCAAAUGACAAUACUGUGUAUUUAUUUGUAUUGCAGUUGUGAUUUACAGACUCCGAGUUGGCACCCAUUGUGCUAGGCACUGUACAUACAUCCAAUGAAAAAGAUGUUCCAUGUGCCAAUGACCAGAAAGACUGAUUCAAAUAUUCUUUUAAAUCUAGGUCUUGGAUCCUGCAAGUCAAUAGAACUAUCAAGUGAGUCUCCUGACUGUACUGCCAUGUUGUUGUGCACUUCAGGUCCUUUACAUCAGAGAAGGCGAUUGAGAGGAUGCCUUUAUUCCUGUGGCUCCAGGCAGGUACAUGACAAAAAAGAUAUUAAUUUCUUUGUGUUCCUUGAAAAUAUUGAAAGAAAGAAAGAAAGAAAGAAAGAAAGAAAGAAAGAAAGAAAGAAAGAAAGAAAGAAAGAAAGAAAGAAAGGCACAUUAAUGUGUGUUUAAAUAAUUUGGUAGCAAAUUGUUCACAAGUUUCUAAUCACUGCACACUAACUUCAUUUGUAGCAAUUUUGGGAGAGGAUAAGUUUGGAAAUAGGGAGGAUUGUUCCAGCUGGAGACAGGGAAAUAUUUCUGUGUGUAUGUUGGUGUUAGUGAGUUUCACAUGUCACGUGUGAUGCUAAAAGAAGAUUCACAGUGGCAGGGCGAUAAAGUGUACACAGUGAGCAUGAGUGAACUGGUUCCGAUUAAAAUAACCACCCUAUUUGGACCAUCACCCAUUUCCAGACCUCAUUCCUAGAAUGAAAGAAGUGAGGCUAUACCCUUCCUGUUAACUCCCCACUCUCUCUCUCUCUCUCUCUCUCUCACACACACACACAGACACAAAACACGGCUUAUCUUCACUUAAAACGCUACAACAGCACAGCUUUGUCGCUGUAGCUCUUUAGUGUAAACAUUACCUACAAGGAUAGGAAGGAUUCUUCCCUCAGCAUAGUUAAUCCAUCUCCCCAGGAGUGGUAGCUAGAUCAACAACUAAAUCGACUUAGUGACUUAAUUACACCGCUGUGGAGGGGGGGUUGAUUUUUCACACCUUUGACUGACAUAGUUAAACCAACCUAAUUUUCUAGUGAAG
ensembl:lncRNA